rnacentral:lncRNA from 1 species
GGUCAAAUUAAAUCUAAAUUAUGUCUAUUCUAAUUAGAUUAGAAUUUAACUUCAAUUUAGAUAACUACGUACAAAUUUAAACCGAAUAUAAUAACUCACAUGCACAGUUUCUCUCUCUCUCUCUCUCUCUCUCUCUCUCUCUCUCGCUUUCGCUCUCUCUAGUCCUGAGUAGUAGUAGUCACCCCUGCCCCAACGCACCCUCCUUCCCUGUCGUCUUCAAAUCCUAUCGUACCCUUAUUGCUGUCACCGUCUACGUUCAUGCCUUCCGUCAUAGUCUCAUCUCAACAAUCUGUGCCAUAUCCAAGCAUGCGUUGGUAGGGGUGGAGCCGUCCACCUCUAUACCCUCCGCCGCAGUCUCACUUCAACGAUUUGUACCAUCCCCGAGCCUAUAUUAGCAGAGUUGUGGGUGAGGUAAGAGAGAGAAGAACAACAUCGACAUGGGGGCGGUAGAGGAGAAGGAGAAGUGGGAGGAAGCUGGGGAAGAAAAAGAUGAGGAAACCACGAGAAGGAAGGAGUAGAAUCAAGAGAAGAAAGACGAACGUGAGAAAAAAAGAGAGAGAGAAAGAGUAAUAAAAGUACUUUCUUCAGUAUUUUAAAAAUUAACAUAAUCUGUAGAGUCCAAAAUAAUAAUUUAUUUUUAUAAAAAUACAAAACCGGUGAAUUUUUUAUGCAAAUUUGCUAAAGAAAGCAAAGAAAAACACUUUAAGAAUCCAUUACAAAAUGGCCUAUGCUUGAUUACAGCAAUAAAGCAUUAACAAAAGUUGGCAAAUAAAUAGCCGAUGCCUAGAGAAAGGGAGAGAGAGAGAGAGAGAGAGAGAGAGAGAGAUACCUCACUAUGAUCUUAUCUCCUAAUGAGUGGAUGUGGGAAAUCACCAUGCUUAGGAGAUAAAGUUAAAAAUGGGGACAAAAUUCAUUAUGCUAAAGACAAAGUGGAGCAUUUGGAAACCCUAACCCAAGCCACUUAACCAGCCAAUAAGUUUUGAAAAGCACUGAGCUCAAACAUGCUAGCCUUUUCACAGCUUUUGACUGGUUCAACUUCACCUGCUCAAAUUUGAUCCAUAUAUUCUCUUCUCCAUUGAUCUUUUUGCCUAAAGAUGCACCAAAAAGCCUAUUUAGCAAUCAAGUUCACUCUUUUCCAUUUAGCGAAUCUAAAUUCAAGAUAAGCAUCAAAGUGUCUGUAUGACCUGACGUCUAAAAUAAUUUUGCUAUUUCAGAAAAAAGUAGCUGUAUUUGGCAAAACAAAAUUAUAGUCUGGACGCAGUAGUGCAGAGAUGUGAAAUGCAAAUUUCACAACAAUUUUAAUGCAACAACUCGGGACUGUUUUUUCAAAUAGCUUUUACGUACCCAAUUAAGCAAUAAUUUUGCAGAAUAUCUAAUUAUACUAAAUAGUCUCUAAAAUUUAUAGAUUCGUUCAAGUUGAUCACCGUCAACACGCAUUCUAAAGUCCUUUCUUGUUCAUGUUUUCGAACAUUUUCGUAUUGAUAAUUUGUUGGAUAAUUUAUAUAUAUUACUUAUCCUCAAAGUAUAUAGUUAGUUGCACUUUAUCAUUCCACUCUGAUCUAGAUAAGUUGCAUUCAAAUUGCGCAGGUAAUUUUUCCACUUAAGAUUAUAAAAUUAUAAGAAAUCGAGUGGAAAAGAAGAUGGUUUGGCUGGAUUAUGCUUACUCGGCUAUAUUUCCAGUGACGAGAGAAUAUCAAGCGAUUUAAAUUUCUAUGCAUGGGACCUGAAUAAUAGAAUAUGGUGAUGGGCCACGAACAAAUACGUUCUAUAUACUUGUUAUGGUAUAUAGAGAUCCCCACAAAAAGUAAAAUAGAAAAGACAAAAGAGGAAGAAGACAAAUCAAAGAAUCUGGUACGUUGUCAUGGAAGCAAAAUAAAAUAACUUUAUUAAAAAAAAUAACUCAUCACCAUAUGCAACCUUCGGCGAGCGCUAAUUAAUUAUGGCGACUCCCAGCUUCAUUAACCAAAAUAAUCCGGCCUACCUAUUUAUAACUAAUCACAUAGAAUCCUACUCUAAUUCGAUUUCAUCUUAAUCACAAUUUAAAUAAUAACCGAAUAUAUUUUAACUAUAACCAAAUAUAAUAAUAGAUGAGAUCAAAUAAUCUAAUCCUAAUCUUAUUAGCAUUAUCUUU